GAUUUCAAAUCUGACUUUGUUGGGUGUAAACGAAAAUACGAAGCUAUCUGUACGCCAAAAGUAUUGUGGGCUUAAAUUGUUGUUUAAAAUCAUGGUCAUAAUCACUUGUGUUACACUGAGUUCCACCACUUAUCGGCAUGAUAUGUUGAUGUAUUCAAGGCGAUGUCAGCAGUUAAAUUUAAACUAUAUUGAAACUAUAAUAAUAGUAUAAUACGGAAAGCAACGAAACGGAAAUCCUAGGUCGACGUCGGUCGCUUCAGUUGUACAACCGUAAAUUUGUGAUGGUGAAAUAAAUCUGUAGAGUAGGACGCUGCCACAGUCACGAAUCGCCAAUAGAAAAUGAAUUAUGGCGUAUCCGAGGCUUCGUCAUUACAGGACGAUGACGGCCAUAUGUUUCGUGUGCAACCUGCCGAUUCUCAGCCACCAGGUGGGACUGGUGUGGCAGGGCGGCAACGGUUGGGACGACAUACUGCGCGAGCAGAUGGAGGAGACGACAAUCAAACAGCGGCUGGGCGGUCGGCGAGAUUCGGCCGCGCAGAUCACCACCGAGUCGCCGCCGACGGAGACCGCGGAGACGUCGCCGCCGGUCAGCCGACGCCGGAGGCGCAGCUCGCUUGCCCAGCUCACCGACAUAUUGCGCGAAUGGAGCGGCACCGGCAUGGGUGGAGGUGGCGUUGGUGGUGGAGGUGGAGGUGGGGCGGGU